rnacentral:rRNA from 1 species
UACGUAGGGGGCAAGCGUUAUCCGGAUUUACUGGGUGUAAAGGGAGCGUAGACGGCUGUGCAAGCCAGAUGUGAAAGCCCGGGGCUCAACCCCGGGACUGCAUUUGGAACUGUGUAGCUGGAGUGUCGGAGAGGCAGGCGGAAUUCCUAGUGUAGCGGUGAAAUGCGUAGAGAUUAGGAAGAACACCGGUGGCGAAGGCGGCUUACUGGACGAUUACUGACGCUGAGGUGCGAAAGCGUGGGGAGCAAACAGG